UCACUCUGAUUUCUCUUCAAUUGUCGUAUAAAUCUUUCGCCUUUUACUAAAGAUUUCCGUGGAGAGGAAUACUCUAAUGAGUCUGUAGAAUUUUUUAUCGUAACCCGAUCCUUAGUUGGAUCGG